CCCGGCAGUUAGCUCUCUGCAACUCUCACAUGGUCGCACACUGAAGCUAAGCAGGGCUGUGCCCGGUCAGUGUCUGGAUGGGAGACCGCAUGGGAAAGCUAGGUUGCUGCCGGAG
ensembl:rRNA 5S_rRNA 5S ribosomal RNA